UACGUAGGGUGCAAGCGUUGUCCGGAAUUAUUGGGCGUAAAGGGCUCGUAGGUGGUCCAUCGCGUCGGGAGUGAAAAGCUGGGGCUUAACCCCAGUCCUGCUUCCGAUACGGGUGGACUAGAGGUAGGUAGGGGAGAUCGGAAUUCCUGGUGUAGCGGUGAAAUGCGCAGAUAUCAGGAGGAACACCGAUGGCGAAGGCAGGUCUCUGGGCAUUAACUGACGCUGAGGAGCGAAAGCAUGGGGAGCGAACAGG
rnacentral:rRNA from 1 species